UGUAUUUCCCGAUCUGACAGUGAUAGGCAUGUCCACAGAUCUGAAGUUGCCUGAUGCGCACAAUAGAAGGGUUUCCAUGGCUGCAACGCAUGUAUCUGAUUGAUUAUGUUCCUUAUACUCGUCUAGAUCGGCUAGAUACUUUUUCCCUUGUAGUUGCAGCAUACAAGGCAUAUGUAUCUGAUCUACUUUUUUUUCUCUUGGUAGGAGUAGCACACAAUGGCAUGCAUCUCUGAUUUUGGAAGCUAAUGGACUAGGUUACUUUUUUUUCUCUUGGUAGGAGUAGCACACAAUGGCAUGUAUCUCUGAUUUUGGAAGCUAAUGGACUAGAGCUAAAAUAAUCCAUCAGUGGUUGGGAUCCUGUUGAGAUUAGUAGAAUGCAUGAAGAUUGAGCUUCAAGAACCCCACCUUUCGAUGAACCAGUUCAACAACAACGAUAUUCAGCCUGCAGGUUCAUACAUGGUUGACACUCAAGAUCAUGGUUUUGCGACCUGGUUAUGGCGGAUGAUCUUUCGUGUACUAUUGUUUAUAGUAAUAUCUCUUGAAACUAAACUGAAGGGGAAGAUCUGUUCUUUUAUUUAGAUAUGUCAACGUAUACCAAUUCCUUUGACUGAACAAUAAGCAUCAAACUAAAGCAAGGACGUGAUAAAAAUCCUAGGCCGCAAACUAUUGUCGAAGGAAGCAACAAAGUGGUCACAGCUCCUUUAGAGUAUGCAGCCACUAAAAUCAUUGAUGGCAAGCCGGACGUGAUAAAAAUCCUAGGCCGCAAACUAUUGUCGGAGGAAGCAACAAAGUGGUCACAGCUCCUUUAGAGUAUGCAGCCACUAAAAUCAUUGAUGGCAGCCGCUGGACGCAGACUGACUACACCAAAUUUCCCAAGGUCGUGCUUGGAAACUUCUGGUAGAGUUCCCAUGAGGUUAUUAAAGGUCAGUUUUACAGAGACUAUGUUUCAGAAGAGUACUAUCGCACAGUGCUCACUGGUAUACAAGUUGAUAAUAGAUAUGCUUUGGCAAAUAAUUUACUUUAUGAUCUUAUAGUAUAAUUAACUUAAGUGUAUGAUGUGUUGUUCUUGAAUACCUAACUAUAGUUGCUCAUGAUACCUCACUUUUUAUUGUGCAGAUAUGCUUUGGCAAAUAAUUUACUUUAUGAUCUUAUAGUAUAAUUAACUUAAGUGUAUGAUGUGUUGUUCUUGAAUACCUAACUAUAGUUGCUCAUGAUACCUCACUUUUAUUGUGCAUUUUACUAUUUGAGUAAUUGGUUGCGACACUAUUCCUGCAACGCUUAGGUUAGUCUGAACCAAACCAUGUACACUUCUGGUAUUGAACAGCUGGAGAAAGACGACCACUUGAGAUAGGCCAAGGUUGCUGUUAUGUCACCCCGCUCCAUUUUGAUGAUGAACUAUUGCUUUCGCUAAGCUCUUUUACGCUCUUAACACUUCGUCAUCAUCUUAUCAGGCGACAAGCUUAGUAGAAGCUAACAAAUUGGUGGUGGUAGAAGCAUGUAUCCAAGCUUUUGAUAUUGAAUCUACCCAAGGACAGGUAUACGAGAUUAGUUCGGUGAAGGUAUCCAUGCUUAGACCUUUAUUUGUUAUCCUGCUAUUUAGUUGGAUUCAUUGAUUCAUCCAGUGGAUUUUGUUACCCAACUAGCAUUACAUAGCAAACUGACCUCACCUGAAAUGUGACGUUGUUCAUUUUCAUAAAUUCCAUCAUUUUAGUUAUUCAUGAAACGUUGUACAGUCCUUCGCAUGCCUCGAAAGUUCAUUUAGUAGUUCAAAAUGGGAGGAGCCUCAGCUGUAAUUAUGAGAUGGUAGAAGAUUCAGAGAAGGUAUCAGACACAACAAAAAACCUUGAGAUAGAAGAUCUCCAUUACGGUGAUAUUUGAUGAAAAAUUGCAAGGAUCUUCAUUUCAAAAUACUGAAAGUAAAGAAAAGGAAAGGUUGCAAAAGGAAUUGAUCUCAGCUGUAGUGGGCUGCUUAAGAGGUGAGAAGGUCUCUAAAAAAAGAGGAAGAAGUAAUAGUCAGCUUCAGCAGCAAUUCCUCUUCUCACUUCCACAAGGUUGUUUUACAUAGGGCAGGCUCCGAAAAUGGAUCGGAAGGAGCUCCUUGACAUAGAACUUGUCUAUCGUGCCUAGAAUUAGUGAUAUAUUUAUGUAUGUAACUAAUGCAAUAAGCUAUCACCUUCUGAUUCUAUCUGUAUGCUGUAAUGUAUGACGUAUAUUGCUACUGGUGACUUGCUGAUCACCCAGUUGUACAAAAAGCGUGCCAGUUCUAUCCUUUGCGCUAUUUUGUUAUAGGUGCAUUUUAUUUCUUGCUGAUUAUCACCAUCUAUUCACUUACUGAUUAUUACCAUGUUUUGCGUGGGCUCAUCAUAUUUGAACAUCUUAUUGCUUGAAUCUCAUUAUUAACUUUCGGUUAGUU